rnacentral:rRNA from 1 species
GAACGCCCGUGAGCGAUCACGGGAGUGGCAGACGGGUGAGUAACGCGUGGGAACAUACCCUCCGGUUCGGAAUAACUCAGGGAAACUUGAGCUAAUACCGGAUACGGCUGAGAGGCGAAAGAAUUUUCGCCGGAGGAUUGGCCCGCGUUCGAUUAGCUAGUUGGUGAGGUAACGGCUCACCAAGGCAACGAUCAGUAGCCGGUCUGAGAGGACGGUCGGCCACACUGGAACUGAGACACGGUCCAGACUCCUACGGGAGGCAGCAGUGGGGAAUUUUUCGCAAUGGGGGCAACCCUGACGAAGCAACGCCGCGUGGGUGAUGAAGUCUCUUGGGACGUAAAACCCUUUCGACGGGGAAGAAACCGCAAGGUUGACGGUACCCGUAGAAGAAGCCCCGGCUAACUCCGUG